AGAAGCCAUGUAUAUCUUCUGUAUUUUCCUUAUUCUCAGCUACUACACUAGAGAUUUCCAGGAAUCUCCUCUUGGAUGAAAUCUAACACUCUUUCUUUUGACUGAACUGAGUUACCUCUCAGUGGGAGAACUCCUUCCCUCCAUAUUGUCUGGGAGCUUCCAUUCCAAUAAAGGAAAACAAGCACAUAUAACUUUACAGAGAACAAUUCAAAAUAAAUGCAAAAAACAAGUUAGGGGAAGUCCAGAAAGACGUCAUGUAGAAGGCAUGCUUGAGCUUCAUCUUGAAGGAAGAGAAAGAUGCUGUGAGAUGAAAGUGAGAAGGGAAUACAUUCCAGGUAUUGGAGGUGGUGAAGAAACACAGAGCCCAUAGAAGUUAAACUAUUCAUCCAGUGUUGCACAGAUAAAGAGCCUGACUUUCAAUUCAUAUCUUUUGAUAAUCUGUGGUCAGAGAUGGGCACCCUGCAGUUCUUCUGACUUCUUACCCUGUGCUCUUCACUGGUACAUUGCCUCUUCCUACUGAAUCACAAGUAAAAUUCCAAGUUUCAUCAAUGUUCUUAAUUAAGUCUCAGUCUCUUAAUUCAUGCAUAUAAAAUAAAGUGAAUUGAUUAAAGCA
rnacentral:lncRNA from 1 species